CAGCGGGAGCAGCAGGGAGGAGGAGGAGGAGGAGGCAGGGAGGCUUCCCCGGAGACCAUUGGGAGCUGUCCAUGGUGCGAAGGGAGGGGGGGGGGGGAAGCACGCCAAGCCAGCCUCCUCUCCGCUUUUUCCAUCCAUCUAUCUCAGUGGUUUUCAACCUUCUCAAUAUAGUCCCGCAUGUUGUGGUGACCCCCCAAACCAUGAUAUUAUUUUCCUUGCUACUUCAUAACUCUCAUGAAUUGUAAUGUAAUGCAAAUAUCUGAUAUGCGGGAUGUCUUUUCCUUCACUGGACCAAAUUUAGCCCAAAUACCCCAUCCUCCCAAAUUUGAAGACUGGUGGGCUUGCAGGAGCUGGGGCUAACAGUGGGCGCUCAUUCCGCUCCCAGGAUUUGAACCUGGGACCUUUCGGUCUGCAAGUUCAGCAGCUCAGUGCUUUAACACACUGCGCCACCACCAGGGGCCCAAAUUUAGCCCAAAUACCCCAUCCGCCCAAAUUUGAAGACUGGUGGGCUUGCAGGGGGUGGGGAUGAUUUUGUCAUUUGGGAGUUGUAAUUCUUGGGAUUUAUAGUUCACCUACAAUCAAAGAGCAUUCUGAACUCCACCAAGGAUGGAAUCAAACCAAACUUGGCACACAGAACUCCCAUGACCCCAAACCAUAACAUUAUUUUCCUUGCUACUUCAUAACUUUCAUGAAUUGUAAUGUAAAUAUCUGAUAUGCAGGAUGUAUUUUCAUUCACUGGACCAAAUUUGGUGCAUCCAUCCAUCUUUCUGCUUAUUCUAUCUAUCUAUCUAUCUAUCUAUCUAUCUAUCUAUCUAUCACAGUGGUUCCCAAUUUUUUUGACCACCUGACCAGGGACCACUUUGACCAGAGACCACUUUGACCAGGAACGACUUUGACCAGGGACCACUUUGACCAGAAACCAGUUUGACCAGGGACCACAUGACCAGGGUCCACUUUGAUCAGGAACUAUUUUGAUCACGAACCACUUUGAACAGGGACCACUUUGACCAGGGACUACUGUGACCAGGGACCACUUUGAUCAGGAACCAUUUUGAUCAUGAACCACUUUGACCAGGGACCAAUUUGACCAGGGACCACUGUGACCAGGGACCACUUUGAUCAUGAACCAUUUUGAUCAUGAACCACUUUGACCAGGAAUCACUUUGACCAGGGACCACUUUGAUCAGGGUCCAUUUGACCAGGGACGACUCCAACAUAAGUAUCCAAAGAGUUACGAAUCAGUUUUUGGUCAACUAUAGAUUCAGUUUGGAUAUUUGGGGUGCUGAUUCAGAAAAUUGCAGUGGAUAGACCACAUUAGCUCUAGUUUCUGAUACAGAACAUAUGCCAUCCAGUAGUCACCAUCUGCUUGUCCACAGAAAGUCAUAUUUAAUAAUCUAGAGCUGAUGUGGUUUAUCCAAUGCACUUUUCUGAGUCAGCACCCAAAUAACCCCAGGAACAGGCCUAAAAAUGAAGACUGCUUCCAGGCACCACAUGGGGGGAAGGAGGAGGAGCAGCAGCAGUCAGGAGGCUUGUUGUCACACCUUUCAUGGGUAGGCAGCUUCUCCCCUCCCAGCAUCCCCAUUGCCUUAGCACUAUAAGAGGAUUUCGUGAGACCAGUCGCUCUUGUUGCAAUAGUGUAGUAAAGGUGAUAUCAUGGACCAUAUAUUACUUCUUGGGGACCCUCCAAUCUGGCACUUAUUUAAACUAGGCAACAUUUAGAACAACACUCUGAAAACAGGGGAAUUCCAGACAUGAAACAGUCAGGGCCAAGUAACACCUGGUUAACAAAGCUGCAAGGUCAUUCAGUGCUAAUCACGGUGCACCAUUCACACUUGCCUCAAACAGACAAGUUCUUUCUCCCACCCUGGACUUUCCACAGAUAUAUAAACCUCACUUGCCUAGUUUCCAACAGACCUCACAACCUCUGAGGAUGCCUGCCAUAGAUGUGGGCAAAAUAUCAGGAGAGAAUUCUUCUGAAACAUGGCCAUACAACACGGUAAACUCACAGCAACCCAGGGUAAAAAAUGAUGAGGAAGAAAGAAAAGGGAACAGAAGAAAGCCCAUUUUUGGGAAGGAGGAGGGAAGUGGGGAGUUAUGGACCUUAUAUUUUGGCAGCCUGUCAUUCAUUCAGAGUCAAGAGUCAAUGAUUCCAUCUCUUACAUCUGCUCAUCUCCCUGUCAGUUAGGCCUCAGACUUUUAGAAUUCAGGCUUAACCUUAAAGAUGAUAUUGCAAUAGCACCUUAAGCACUCACUAGUUUGAUCUGGCACAACCAUUCACGGACUACAGCUUCCUUCUCCGAAUGCAUAAUAGCCUUGCCUAACUUGUUAUACCAGCCAAACUCUAACAUUGAAAUUUCUUCUAAUGUUCAAUCAAAAUCUGCUCUCCUGCAACUUAAAACCAUUUGACCAGGCUCUAGUAUCUGAAGCAGCAGGGAACAAGCCUGGCCCAUCCUCUCUGUGAAAGCCUUUGAGGUAUCUGAACAUUGCAGUCAUGUCACUGCAGUCUUCUCUUCACCAAGAUGAACAAGUCCAGUUCCUUCAAUCUUUAGCCAUAAGCUUUUUUUCUCCAAACUUGUUAUCAAACGUGUUGCCAUUCUCUAAACCUGUUCCAACUUGCUUAAAAUUAGUUACCCAGAACUUAUCAUGGCAUGGAAUAUAGUCAGAUUUUUUUCCCCCCUGACUUGGAAAAUGUGCUUCUAUUAAUGGAGGUUAAAAUAGCAUUCACCUUCUUUGUUAAGGCAUGACACUCUGGCCUCAUGUUCAAUUUAUGAUAAACAAGCGUACCAAGGUCCUUAUUGCAGGUAUUACUGCUGAACAAUAUAUUCUCUAUCCUAUAUCUGCUCGUUCGGUUUUAGUGUCCUAAUGACAGAAUUAUCACAUAUCUCUAUUAAAUGUAAAGUUAUCAAUUUUGCAAAAUUUUCUGGUUUGUUAAGGUCAUUUAUUUUCCCUAUCUUUCAAUGUUUUGCCUGCCCUUUUCAGUUUUGUGUCAUUUGCAAAUUUGAUCAGGAUUCCCACCACCCCAUCAAUUGGGUGGGGUAUAUUCACACUGUAGAUCUAAUGCAGUUUGACACUACUUUAACUACCAUAACUCAGUGCUAUGGAGUCAUGGUAGUUGUAGUUUUACCAAGUAUUUGCCUUCUCUACCCAAGAGUGCUGGUUUCUCAUCAAACUACAGCUCCCAUAAUUCCAUAUCACUGAGCCAUGGCAGUCAAAGUGAUGUCAAAAUGUAUUCAUUCUACAGUGUAGAUAUGCCCUGUUGUUAAUAAAUAUGUUGAAGAGUAAUGGCCCUAUAGCACAGCCUGACACACUCACUUGAGACCGCCUUUCAGAUUGAGACAUAGCCAUUGAUAUAACUCUUUGAGCAUGAUUACCCACCAACUGUGGAUUCCCCUCCUGCAUGUCUUUCUGAUAGGCCAAAGGCAGGGGAGAUGUGGACUACCAAAAAUUGCCAUAAGCUCUUUAUAGCAUAGGCAGUUAUGAGGGAUGGUGGGAGUUGCAGUCCAAAUGAACUUGAAGGACAGCAUGUUUCCACUCCCUACUGUAUUUUUUAUGAACCUGACAAAACUGUUGUCCUUUGGUAUUGUAUAGAAGCUGAAAUGCUGAUUGAUGGUGAACUAGGGAAGAUUGUAGCUAUAUAUAACUGGAGGUUCUUCCUUUCCUUUUAAGCCACGUAAUAUUUUGAGAAGAGGAUGUAUUUACCAAAACAUUGUUAGGUUAUGUAUGCAAGUUAAAGCAAAUCCCACUAGACCAGUAAGUGUAAUUAAUUGGUUACAUGUGACUUGAAGGUAAACACACAUACAUAAAUAGGUGUGCCAAGGUGCAAAGCCCGUUUUGUUUAACAAGCCGUAUUUACUGAGAAACCAACCUCCUUCCUUUUGCAAUUGCCACCAUUCUCUCCUUCACUUUCACAGUUCUUAUCCCACUGGCUGCCAGUUAUCUACUGAGCACAAUUCAAAGUGCUGGCUUUGGCCUAUAAAGCCCUAAAUGGCCGUGGCCCAGUUUCCCAGUCCGAAUGCAUCUCCCUCUAUAAACCACCGUGGAGAUUAAGGUCUUCCAGGGAGACCCUGCUCUCGGUCCCACCACCGUCACAGACACGAUUGGCGGGGACAAGAGACAGGGCCUUCUCAGUAAUUGCCCCUGGCUAUGGAACUCCCUCCCUGGAGAGAUGAGAUCAGCCCCCUCCCUCCUGUCCUUUAGAAAGAUGGUAAAGACCUGGUUGUGGGACCAAGCCUUUGGGGCAGUGCAAUCAUGGCAGCAAUAGGAAAUUUCACCCUGCUGACCGGAUACAGUGCGGCUGUCUUGUGAUGGUUUUAAAUAAUGGUUUUAAUGUGAAGAUAACUGAUUUUAGUGUUUAUGUAUAUUUAUGGUUUAUUUUAUGCUCCGGGAUUAAAUGUUUGCCGUAUAUAUGUUGUGCUCCGCCCUGAAUCCACUUUGGGGUGAGAAGAGCGGAAUAUAAAUGUUUUAAAUAAAUAAAUAAACAGUCUUUUAAAUUGUGUCCUUUCUCUGCAAUCAAUGGGGAAUUUUCCCUGAUCCAUCUCCAUACAGAAGCUUACAUUUUCUCUUCUGCCUUUGUUUCUUCUCUAGGUUCUUUCCAUUCUUUUAUGAACAAUUCUUUUCUUGCUCUAGUUUAUUUCAAAGUACACAGCUCCUACCCCUCAGCUAUUCUAUCCUUUUCUUUAAAUUUCCCGGAGAGAUGAUAAUUGAAACUAGAGCUUGUUCCAGGUCUGCUAAGCUAUGCAGAGUAAUGGCAAAUUGAACUUAUUAGUGACACUGAGCAUUGGCUUUAGAUUACCUGACUCUGCUCCUCAAGCCAUGUUCUUUGGGGUAUCUGUUUUGUGUGUACUUCAUUGGUUCAACUUUAAUUCUUGGCAGCCUUUCCUCUUAAAUAUGGAAAACCUCUUUUGUCGGUGAAAUCCAGACCAUGGAACAUUUACCUUUUGAGGCUACAGCCCAACAAAUUCUGCAGCCAGCAUGACAAUUGCACACCAAAAAUAACUCGACAUCAAAAUUAGAAAAAGUCCCAUGUCCUGCUUAAAUUUUGGAUUAGGUGCAGUGGCAGUAAUAUUGAGGAAUUGCUAGUGCUCAGAUCUUCCCUCUGACUAGAACUAGGUCAACCUGAAAGCACAAAGCAAAAUAACCUAGUGUUCCAGAGAUCAGGACAAAAUAAUUGCUCCUUUCUAUGACAACUCCUGGGUUCUGGGGAACUGAAUUCCCAAAGGGUACCUUUUCCAAGCUCUGUUUAGUUUCUUUAUAAUGUACAUAUCCUACAUCUUUUUUAGUAGUUGCUUUUGUGAUAGUUUUUUUUUUUUCGUGUCAGGAGCAACUGGAGUUGCUUCUGGAGUGAGAGAAUUGGCCGUCUGCAAGGACGUUGCCCAGGGGACACCUGGAUGUUUAGAUGUUUUACCAUCCUUGUGGGAGGCUUCUCUCAUGUCCCCGCAAGGAGCUGGAGCUGAAAGAGGGAGCUCAUCCGCUCUCUCCCCGGGUGGGAUUUGAACCUGGCAGCUUUCAGGUCAGCAACCCAACCUUCAACUCAUGAGGUUUUUAUCCCCUAGGCCACCGGAGGCUCCUUUGUGAUAGUGAAACAGUUAAGCAAUGGAUAUUAUUUAUGAGCUGGGUCUGGCUAUGAUUGUCUUGGUCUAGUUAAAGAUUAGCUGUUAUGGUGGUCUAGAUAAAAAUUGCAACCUUAUAUUUGUACUUAAUGAUGAUACUUGUACUGGGAUGACAAUUUUGUAAAGGAAAGAAUUGUGCACAAAAAAUAAUAUCUUCAUUCUACAUAUGCAUCUAACCUACACCAUAGAAUUUAUGCAGUUUAGCAUGGCUCAUGGAGUCCCUGAUGGCACAGUGAGUUAAACAGCUGAGCUGCUGAACUUGCUGACUGAAAAGUCGGUGUUUCAAAUCUGGAUUGUGGGGUGAGCUCCCGUUGUUAGUCCCAGCUUCUGCCAAUCUAGCAGUUCGAAAACAUGUAAAUAUGAGUAGAUCAAUAGGUACCGCUCUGGCAGGAAAGUAAUGGCACUCCAUGCAGUCAUGCUGGCCAUAUAACUUUGGAGGCAUCUACGGACAAUGCCAGCUUUUCGGCUUAGAAAUGGGGAUGAGUAUCAACCUCCACAGUCGGACACAACUAGACUUAAUGUUAAGGGAAAUCCUUUACUUUACUUACACAUGCAUGUAACCUAUACCAUAGAAUAAAUGCAGUUUAACACCACAUUAACUGCCAUGGCUCAAUGGUAUUGAUCCCAGGAGUUGUAGUUUGGUGAAGCACCACUGCACAUUGGCAGAGCAUGCUACAGAUCUUGGAAAUGAUAACUCCCAUGAGCACCAACCCCCAGAGUCGGACACAACUAGACUUAAUGUCAGAGGAAAACCUUUACCUUUACCUUAUGAUUCCAUAGCAUGGGAGUAUGUUAAUUCUACAAAGCAAAUGCACCCAAACAUAAGGAAUUUUUCAUUUUAAUUUGUGGCAUUGUGCUGUGCAUAUCCCAGUACAGAAUGUUAGGCCAAGCACAUUUGAUGGAUCAGUGUGCCUAGAACUGCAACCUUCAUUGAGUGAAUUCUAAUCUACAAUCCUGAAUUAAUAUAUAUGAGAACAUAGCAUUAGUUUAAUAAUCCCAAAGUAUUUGAUAAUGUUGAUAUGCUGGCAUUUUUAGAACAAAGAAUAUGGUCUUGCCUUUUGGGAUAAAUAUGCCGUUAUAAGAAGAAAACUUUUGAUGAGAGACAAUGUGAGAUAGUAUUGCUAAGUGUCAGUGUGAAGCAUGGAUAGCAAGCACCACUUCUGAUGGGAGAUGGUAUUUUCCAUUCAAUCACUACUUUGGAAGUGGUUUCAAUUCAGAGAACCGUGCGAGGGUAGAGCAAAUUCACCUUCUUCUACCCAACCCUCCCUUCUAUCAACCUUUAAAUCAGAGGUGGGAAAUGUGUGAGCCUCUGCUGUCGGAUUGCAGCUUCCAUCAGUCCAACUAGCACAACCAAUGGCAAAGAUCAUAGGAGUUGCAAUCCAAUGAAAUCUUGAAGGUCAUGUAUUUUUUGUUCCUGCUUUUAAAAAAUACACUAGUAAAGAAAUACUGAUAUUCAUGCAACUAGUGGAAUAUUGAUUGGAUAAUAUUUUUUCAGCUUAUUUGACAAAAGGUACAUUUUACAUAUGUGUACAGAAAGACAGAAUCCCCUCUUUCCUUUCCUUUUUAAUUACAUAGAGCUAAAGAGAUGUGUUUGGUGGAUGGAUUCCUGGCAUCGCCUCCUCAAGAGGAACAUAUGGCUGCUGCUAUUUUUAUGAACAGCGACUUCUAUGUUCCAUGCUUCAAGGAAAACGGGAAAGGGCUUUAUUCCUCAUUACGAUCAGAACUUUGCAGUCUGGUAUAUGUAUCCGCUGUUAUUGAAAGAGCUUGCACUGAAGCUCUCGGGAGAAGGAGAGAGCUUAUAGAGAUAGAAUCAUUUUUACUGUAGUUCACAACACAAAGGGUUGGAUCUAAAAGCUACCCUCCUACAAAAGGGAUGCUUCCAUUAGUGUGUGGGUGCGCAUCCCUUUUUUGCAGACCCCUGGUAUCCUAUCACUCACCAUAUAUACUGUUGAAUCUUUGCUCUAACAGCUGUUCCCAUUUUAGCAGCAUAACAAGAAAACAUGUUCUGCUCCAUAGUCUUGCAGAGCGCUAUGACAUGGAUGGGGCCAAAGGCAAGCGACUAGAGCUAAAAAUACAUCUGAUGAGAAAGGGACUUCUUUGCUGGCUUUGGAACUAUCUUCCAAAUGAAGGGGCAAACAGACUCAUCAAUUCACCCUUUUACCCAGCUAUCAGUGGGGAAGAUAGAUAAAGUUGUUAUAAGGCAGAAAACAACAAGCUUCUAUCCUCUUUUCUUGCCCUUUUGGAUUUAUUGAAGGUGCACAGACAUUAUCCAAGUUGACUUCUUGCAACCGUACUCAAAAGGCAAAAUGUUUUGGUGGAAAAUUAAAAAAGAAACCAACUCUUGAUUUAUUACAUUUAUAUCCUACCUUUCCCACCUCCUCCUCACUUUAGACCAGGCAUGGGCAAACUUCAGCCCUCUGGGUGUUUUGGACUUCAACUCCCACAAUUCCUAACAGCCUCAGGCCCUUUCCUUUACCCACUUAGCUGCUUUAGAUGAAGUUUAUACAUGCCUGCUUUAGAUUCAUAGAGUAAAUAAUGUGUCAUGGCAGUUAGUGAUGUUAAAAUUCCAUUAAUUCUACAGUGUAGAUGCAUCCUGAGUGACUGGCUGAAAGUUAUAUGGCAUGUUCCAUGGCUCAGUAGAUUAACCAAACCAGAGUCCAACAGUGUAUCUGCUAUACCACGCUGGCUCUCACUUAACUGUCCUUUUUGUCAAUUUUAUUGGCUAUUUAUUGUACUGCCCAUUUCAGAUUAAGAGGCUGGAUGGACCUUUAAAAAAACCCAGACAUUCUGCAACCUGCCAUUUUGGAAUUUAUUGUCCAAUCAAUGUUGGUAUAUAAUGGAAAAGUUAAUCUGGUAGUUGUACCCAAACAUCAGAACACACACUAGUCUUACAGAUUUCAGUUAGGAACUAAUCGCCUACUCUCUCUAGUUUUCAUGGCAAAGAAAGCAAAUUCAAAGGUUUUAUUCUGACAAGCCUCCUUUGUGAUAGAAGGGGUUUCAGAGUUCUCUUCUGUUACAAUAAAGAAAAUACCACCUUUUAAAAAUAAACUUCACUGAUUCAAUUGUUUGCAUUUUUGAACUAAUAACAGUUGACAUUAAUAAGGGAGAAUACACGCCCCAUGUUAAAAUAGCUUCAUUGGCCACAAAUUUGUUUCUGGGCAUAAUUCAAAGUGGUGAUCACGACCUAUAUAGCUCUAUAAAGCUUGAGUCCAGACCAACCAACCCAUAUGAACCUGCCAAAGUUCAAAACCCUAUAGGGAAAGCUUUCUCUCAAUCCCACCACCAUUAUAGUCUUAUAUGGUGAGGACAUGAGAUGGGGCCUUUCUCAGUGGCUGUUUCCACCCUCUGGGUCAACCUUCUACAAGAGGCUAGUUUGGCCUCUUUCCCUUCAUCAGCACACAAAGACAUUUAUUUUUAAGCAGACUUUUAAUUUAUAAUCAGGGGAGCUUCUUACUGGGUUGUUCUAUUCAUUUUAUACAACUUUGUUUCUUGAAUUAUUUUAUCUUGUUCUGUGAUGAUUCCAUAGUUUCAAAAUUUCCUUGAGCAUGGGUUACUGUGAAUUUUCCGGGCUGUAUGUCCAUGUUCCAGAAACAUUCUCUCCUGACAUUUCACCCACGUCUAUGGCAGGCAUCCUCAAUGGUUGUGAGGUCUGUUGGAAACAAGGCAAGUGAGAUUUAUAUAUCUGUGGAAGGUCCAGGGUGGGAGAAAGAACACUUGUCUGCUGGAGGCAAGUGUGAAUGUUGCAAUUGGCCACCUUGAUUCGUUUCUGGAGUAGAACAACUACUUUCAAAGGAAGUACCACACAAUUAAACAACAAAUAACACUUGCAAACCAGGAACAGAACUUUUUUCUUUCAUUUGUUUUUACAUAGUGUUAUUCCUAGAAGCUACCUUGAGUCCCAUUUUGGGAGAAAGGUAGCAAACAAACAAGUAUUUGCCAAUAUAUAUCUCAUAUCUGUUUACAGUUUGUCUUUUCUGUGGACUGAUCUAUUACUGCAAUAAAUAUUACUGCAUGGUACUAUAAUGGUCAAAUUCUAGCCCAUGUCAAUCAAGCCAUCAAAUCGGUGUCUUUUAUCACCUAGAUCAUCCAUGAUUUUUGGUCUGAGCAACUAUACUUCCUUUUACUCAGAACUAGCAUUUAACCUUCAUUUGAGUUUUUUAAUCCAAUCUGUCCUGUUUUCUUUGCAUUGACAGCUCGUUUUCUUUGGCUACUUCAUCUGCUAUUCACAUACUACCACUCACAAGGAAAAACAGAUCAGGUGUAGGUACAAAAUGUCCUUUGAACACAACUUCCUGAACUAUGAUCCUUUUCAAACUGUCUUCCAGAUCAUAACUUGCCUGUUUCAAACACAGAAUUAGAGGGGUUAAAUCUAAAUGAUAAAUAAGUCCAUUUACUAAAGUCAUUGCACUAAUUAUAGUAGUGUUGAUGUUAUAUUGAUUUAAGCCCUUUGCUACAUACACUAAUGAUUACCAGAGCACACGGAGCAUAGAACUUUAAUAUGCUAAAUCCUAUACAGAAAUUUGCAAGUUGAAAACAUAAUUGGUAACUGAAUUGUUGCUGGACUAGAUAAUUUAGAGAAUUGGAGAACAGUGUUCCCUCACUUAUCACGGGGGUUAGGUUCCAGGACCACCCGCAAUAAGUGAAAAUUCACGAAGUAGGGAUGCUAUCUAUUUAUACAUUAUUUUAGUAGUUAUACACUGUUUAAAUCUUUAUCAACCAAUGUGUGUUGAUAAAUCGCUUCCUUCUCCUCUCGUUGCUGCUUGGGCUCCUUUUUGCUCCCUUUGGCUUCUCCUUCCUCCCUUCCUUAGGCUGUAAAUUGUAUUUUUUAUGUAAUAUUAUUUAGAGUUUAUUGAAAAACUGCGAAACAGCGAAUCCGCAAAAAGCAAACUGUGAAGUAGUGAGGGAACACUGUACUUGUUUGAGUGUGUUAUGUACUUUAAAUACCUGGAGGGGCCAAGCAGGUAAAAUUCACUUUGGUUAUAACAUUUAAUACAUCUUAUAAAACCUUGGUCUUUUUGUCA